UUAUUAGACUGUGUUUAAGAGGUAUUCAGGAUCUUUUCAUUGGUGCUUAUAUCUCUCUCGUUGCUGCCACCACCCCAUCGGCAGAUCAAGGAAAACCCAGGCUCAAGAACUCAGCACAGUUGUGCCUGGAGCUCCAGAAUGAUGGCCUCAAGCUCUUUCUUUUCCUGUUGGCUCUGGAUUUGCAGCUCU